rnacentral:rRNA from 1 species
AUACAGAGGGUGCAAGCGUUAAUCGGAUUUACUGGGCGUAAAGCGCGCGUAGGUGGCUAAUUAAGUCAAAUGUGAAAUCCCCGAGCUUAACUUGGGAAUUGCAUUCGAUACUGGUUAGCUAGAGUAUGGGAGAGGAUGGUAGAAUUCCAGGUGUAGCGGUGAAAUGCGUAGAGAUCUGGAGGAAUACCGAUGGCGAAGGCAGCCAUCUGGCCUAAUACUGACACUGAGGUGCGAAAGCAUGGGGAGCAAACAGGAUUAGAUACCCUGGUAGUCCAUGCCGUAAACGAUGUCUACUAGCCGUUGGGGCCCUUGAGGCUUUAGUGGCGCAGCUAACGCGAUAAGUAGACCGCCUGGGGAGUACGGUCGCAAGACUGAAACUUAAAGGAAUUGACGGGG